UAAUUAUAAAGUAAUUAUAAGAACUGAUUAAAUAAAAAAUAUAAUAUAAAAUAAAUAUAAAAUAUUUAAAAUAAAUAUAAAAUAUAAUAAAUGAUUAAAUAAAAAGCAUAAAUGAUUUUGUUGCUUAAACUAAUAUAUCAAUAGUCCAAAUGAGCAUGAUUCCUUUAAAACAGUCAUCUUAGCAGUUCUAUAUCUAUUCUACUAAUUUUGCUACUAAAGUAUUUUUCAGAAAAACUCUUUUGGAAAUGUACUCAGUUUAACUUAAGAGCCAUGUAAAAAACUGCAUCUCAAAGUUAAAACAUGACUCUCUACUUCUGCCCAAAUUCACUGAAUAGUGUUACGAGUCAAUGAGAAGAUAAAAAAGAUAAAUACUUCUGCCCCAAAAUGAUUUUAAAUAGCCUGAUUUAAAACAUUAUGUACAACAGAUAAACUGGCACUAGAUGGCUUUUAGUGAUUUCUAAAUAUCAAAUUCACAUUCAAAAGAAGAAUUCAUAAGUUCUGAAGACAAGUCUAAAACGAUAGUUUCAAAAACAACAGCACUGUUGAAAUAAUCACUUUAAAUGAGCUAACAUUCUUUUGGAUAAGAAAAUCUAGUAUAUUUACAUUUACAAACAGGAGUAAUUUUAAAGUUCCCUUCUUACGACCACAGAAAAGAUAGUACCUUAAUUAAAAACCCAUAUACAGGGCUGGACGCAGUGGCCCAUGCCUGUAAUCCCAGCACUUUGGGAGGUCGAGGAGGGUGGACCACCUGAGAUCAGGAAUUUGAGACAAGCCUGGCCAACAUGGUGAAACCCUGUCUCUACUAAAAGUACAAAAGUUAGCCAGGCAUGGUGGCAGGUGCCUGUAAUCCCAGCUACUAGGGAGGCUGAGGCAGAAGAAUGGCUUGAACUCAGGAGGUGGAGGUUGCAGUGAGCCAAGAUCGUGCCACUGCACUCCAGCCUGGGUGACAGAGUGAGACUCCAUCUCAAAAAAAAACAAAAAACAAAACCCAUAUUCAACUAAAAUGGAAAAGACAAAUAUAAAAAAAUUUUGGCCAGGCGCGGUGGCUCACACCUGUAAUCCCAGCACUUUGGGAGGUCAAGGCGGGCGGGUCACAAGGUCAGGAGAUCGAGACCAUCCUGGCUAACAAGGUGAAACCCCAUCUCUACUAAAAAUACAAAAAAUUAGCCGGGCAUGGUGGCAGGCGCCUGUAGUCCCAGCUACUCAGGAGGCUGAGGCAGAAGAAUGGCUUGAACUCAGGAGGAGGAGGUUGCAGUGAGCCAAGAUCAUGCCACUGCGGGUGGAUCACAAGGUCAGGAGAUCG
rnacentral:lncRNA from 10 species